GGAAGAUACUCCUCUCUGGGAGGGGUUUUCCUGUCUUUUCGAGAGAGGGAAACAUAUCCCAAGCAGAGAGGAGGCAACCGAGUGUAACUCACAUCACAGUUGCUGCUUACAGUAUUUUUCUGAGUUCAUCUAGUCUUUAUGAAAAUUGAAGUAUCCAGAGCCUUGGAGAAUCAAGGACACAGAGGAUACAGUACCUUGACAUCUGAUGCAUCUACUUUGAGUGAUGUGCUUAACUCUGAAGACAGAGGCCUCUCUCCACCAAAAAAAAGGUAGAGCUGGAGCACCACCAACAGAAAUCAGUCUCUUCAGACUUCAAAUGAUCAAUUAUCUGUUAAAUAAAAGCAAAAACACUAGACAUGGAGGGAAUAAACUUGCUCAUUUGCUUUUA